GUUAAACGGGGAAGGGUCUUGGAAAAUGGGAAAAUUUGCUUCAAAAAAAGGAAGGGGAAUUUCCUGGGGAAGGGGGAAAUGGGCUAAAAAUGUGAGGAAACACCGGGGGAAAGCCCCUUUCUCUGGUGUGUCUGACACUGAUAUGAGAAAAAGUGGGGGGAAAAAACGAGAAUAUAUCCCGUGGUUCCCCACCCCAUAAAAUAAGAGUGCUAUGUGUUGGGGGGUUUCCCCCCCUUAGCGCUGCAUCUAACGCAUUACACUCUCCGCGGGGGGAAGACCGUCGCGAGACUGAAACUCAAAGGACUUGACCGCCCCCCCCACAAGCGGUGGAUGUUGUUUUUUUAUUCGAAGCGCCACGAAGAAUCUUACCUCUUGUUGUCAUCCUCUGACAAUACUAGAGAUAGGGCUCUCCCUUCGGGGGACAGAGAGACGGGUGGUGUGUGUGUGUCCUCCUCUCGUGUCGUGAGAUUUUGUUUUAUCCCCCACAACGAGCGCACCCUUUGAUCUUUGCCCCCACUAUUCUGUUGCAGCCCUCCUUUGGUGACCGCCGGCGAAACAGCGGAGGAUGGUGGGUGAUGACGUCUUAUCCUCCUGCUCCUGAAUUACGUGCGCUACACACUUGCUUUGGAUGAAGAAAA
rnacentral:rRNA from 1 species